rnacentral:rRNA from 1 species
AGUGAACGCUGGCGGUAGGCCUAACACAUGCAAGUCGAACGGCAGCACAGGAGAGCUUGCUCUCUGGGUGGCGAGUGGCGGACGGGUGAGGAAUACAUCGGAAUCUACUCUGUCGUGGGGGAUAACGUAGGGAAACUUACGCUAAUACCGCAUACGACCUACGGGUGAAAGCAGGGGACCUUCGGGCCUUGCGCGAUUGAAUGAGCCGAUGUCGGAUUAGCUAGUUGGCGGGGUAAAAGCCCACCAAGGCGACGAUCCGUAGCUGGUCUGAGAUGAUGAUCAGCCACACGGGAACUGAGACACGGUCCAGACUCCUACGGGAGGCAGCAGUGGGGAAUAUUGGACAAUGGGCGCAAGCCUGAUCCAGCCAUACCGCGUGGGUGAAGAAGGCCUUCGGGUUGUAAAGCCCUUUUGUUGGGAAAGAAAUCCAGCUGGCUAAUACCCGGUUGGGAUGACGGUACCCAAAGAAUAAGCACCGGCUAACUUCGUGCCAGCCGCCGCCGUAA